rnacentral:rRNA from 1 species
UCCUACGGGAGGCAGCAGUGGGGAGUUUUGGACAAUGGGCGAAAGCCUGAUCCAGCAAUGCCGCGUGUGUGAAGAGGGCCUUCGGGUUGUAAAGCACUUUUGUCCGGAAAGAAAUGGCUCUGGUUAAUACCUGGGGUCGAUGACGGUACCGGAAGAAUAAGGACCGGCUAACUACGUGCCAGCAGCCGCGGUAAUACGUAGGGUCCAAGCGUUAAUCGGAAUUACUGGGCGUAAAGCGUGCGCAGGCGGUUGUGCAGGACCGAUGCGAAAUCCCCGAGCUUAACUUGGGAAUUGCAUUGGUGACUGCACGGCUAGAGUGUGUCAGAGGGGGGUAGAAUUCCACGUGUAGCAGUGAAAUGCGUAGAGAUGUGGAGGAAUACCGAUGGCGAAGGCAGCCCCCUGGGAUAACACUGACGCUCAUGCACGAAAGCGUGGGGAGCAAACAGGAUUAGAUACCCUGGUAGUCCACGCCCUAAACGAUGUCAACUAGUUGUUGGGGAUUCAUUUCCUUAGUAACGUAGCUAACGCGUGAAGUUGACCGCCUGGGGAGUACGGUCGCAAGAUUAAAACUCAAAGAAAUUGAC